rnacentral:rRNA from 1 species
UACGUAGGGUGCGAGCGUUGUCCGGAAUUAUUGGGCGUAAAGAGCUCGUAGGCGGUGUGUCGCGUCGGUCGUGAAAACUUGGGGCUUAACCCUGAGCUUGCGGUCGAUACGGGCAUCACUGGAGUUCGGCAGGGGAGACCGGAAUUCCUGGUGUAGCGGUGAAAUGCGCAGAUAUCAGGAGGAACACCGGUGGCGAAGGCGGGUCUCUGGGCCGAUACUGACGCUGAGGAGCGAAAGCGUGGGGAGCGAACAGG